rnacentral:rRNA from 1 species
CCUAUUUUCGUUGGUUUACAGUACUUCAGUAAUGAUGAAUAGAAACGGUUAGGGGCAUUUGUAUUUGGUCGCUAGAGGUGAAAUUCUUGGAUUG